rnacentral:rRNA from 1 species
AGCGAACGCUGGCGGCAGGCUUAACACAUGCAAGUCGAGCGCCCCGCAAGGGGAGCGGCAGACGGGUGAGUAACACGUGGGAACGUACCCUUCAGUUCGGAACAACCCAGGGAAACUUGGGCUAAUACCGGAUACGUCCGUAAGGAGAAAGAUUUAUCGCUGAAGGAUCGGCCCGCGUCUGAUUAGCUAGUUGGUGAGGUAAUGGCUCACCAAGGCUACGAUCAGUAGCUGGUCUGAGAGGAUGAUCAGCCACAUUGGGACUGAGACACGGCCCAAACUCCUACGGGAGGCAGCAGUGGGGAAUAUUGGACAAUGGGGGCCACCCUGAUCCAGCCAUGCCGCGUGAGUGAUGAAGGCCCUAGGGUUGUAAAGCUCUUUUAGCGGGGAAGAUAAUGACGGUACCCGCAGAAAAAGCCCCGGCUAACUUCGUGCCAGCCGCCGCGGUAAAAC